rnacentral:rRNA from 1 species
AUGGAGGUUCUCGCGCUCAACUGGCUCGCGCAACUUCUUCGGCCGCCCGCUACGUUCAUGAACCGCACCAGCACUGGAAGUCGUGGCACCGGCGGUGGUGUUAUCCUCGGCACCACCAGCGAAGCUAUGCUGGUCACCCUUGUUGCCGCCCGUGAUGCCGCUCUACAUCGGAGUGGUUCUGUCGGCGUCUCUGGCUUGCCACGGUUGAUAGUCUACGCUGCCGAUCAGACCAACUCCACCUUCUUCAAAGCUUGUCGCCUCACUGGGUUUGACCCAGCCAACAUCCGCUCCAUGGAGAUCAACCCAGAGUACCUCAAGAAUCAUGCCACUGACUCCGGUGAGGUCACUGAUCUCAAGGACAUGUAG